UACGGAGGGUGCAAGCGUUAUCCGGAUUUACUGGGUUAAAGGGUGCGCAGGCGGAUAUGUAAGUCAGUGGUGAAAUCUCCAGGCUUAACCUGGAAAUUGCCGUUGAUACUAUAUAUCUUGAAUGCUGUGGAGGUAAGCGGAAUAUGUCAUGUAGCGGUGAAAUGCUUAGAGAUGACAUAGAACACCUAUUGCGAAGGCAGCUUACUACGCAGAUAUUGACGCUCAUGCACGAAAGCGUGGGGAUCAAACAGG
rnacentral:rRNA from 1 species